UAAUGUAAAUAUGAUCUGACUGUGUCAUCACAUCCUUUACCAUCAGGGUUGAUUCAGCUGAUUCGGCAGAUUGGACAGUCUCUUUCCACACUCACUAGUCUUCUGUGUGUUCCUCUCAAUGUUUCCAACUUGCUGGAAAAGAAGAAAUUUCUCAGGAGUGGAAAAUUAUUACUUGGUCAAGAAUAUGAAACUA
rnacentral:snRNA from 1 species